GGAUGGGCGGGAGGCCAGUGGCCCCGGGGCUGUCCCAGCCGUGGUGUGGCAGCAGGGCCAGGGCAGUGCCCUCCCUGUGCUGGCACUGCUGAGGCACCUCCAGUGCUGGGGCAGUUCUGGGCCCUCAGACAGGAGAGACAUUGAGGGGCUGGAGCGUGUGCAGGGAAGGGAACGGAGCUGGGGAAGGGUCUGGAGCAGCAGGAGCGUCUGAGGGAGCUGGGGGGGCUCAUCCUGGAGAAAAGGAGGCUCAGGGGGGACCUUCUGGCUCUGCAACUCCCUGACAGGAGGGGGGAACUGGGGAGGAUCCGAGCUCUGCUGCCAGGGAACAAGGGACAGGAUGAGAGGAAACAGCCUCAAGUUGUGCCAGAAGAGGUUUAGAUUGGAUUCUGGGAGAAUUCCUUCAUGGAAGGGGUUGUCCAGCCCUGGCACAGCUGUCCAGGGCAGUGUUGGAGUCCCCAUCCCUGGAGGGAUUUAAAAGCCCUGUGGGUGUGGCACUUGGGGACAUGGGUCAGUGGUGGCCUUGGCAGCGCUGGGGAAUGGUUGGACUCCAUGGUCUGGGAGGGCUUUUCCAACCUGAGCGAUUCUGUGAUUCCAACCAGAUUUAACCUACCCAGUUCUUCCUCUCCUGCAGUGGCACAGCAGCCCCAGGCGUGACAGUCCCAAGGUGGGACAUGGACAGAAGGGAGCCCAAAGCCUUCCCAGCCUCCUUCUGCUGCCUGCGCCCACCCCCGUACUCAGUGACACUUAACAGAGUGGCUUCCCCCCAUAUGUUUUUAUUUUCUUAUAGCUCCUGCCUUCAGUAGGCUCGUCUAACCACCUGUGGUGUGGUAAUGAUGUAGCACAACCAAAUCCCUGUGCCUCAGUAGAUUCCCAGGCUCACCACAAGUGAAUUGGAGCUGUUACCUGUGACUGCACAGCCAGGGACCCAUCAGCAAGUGAAACCCAGCACUGUUUUAUCUGCAGGGAUCCUUGCAGGAUGCCCAGCAGAUUCCCUGGGACUGUUCAAGCCUGGAGAAGAGAAGGCCACUUUUACACCUGAGGUCACGUCUCACCACCGUAGCAGUUAUCUCUCCAGAGACAUUCUCCUCUUCCAGACUGAAAGGGUUCCUGAACUCAGUGAUGUAGGUGUUGUGAUUCAGUGUCUUGGGCAUGGAUCCCAUCUCAACAGGUCUGGUAUUCCCAGGAGCCAGGGAAUCCUGUGUCAGAGCCUCUACCCUGGCACUCCAUGUUACCAGGGGCUGAUUUCCUUGACUGGGGGGACAGAGGAAGGAGCUCUUUGCCCUGGACAGCCCUGGUGUGAUGCUGUGACAGAGGAUGUUGGGAAGAACACGAGGAGCUAUCCCUGCCUAUGCUCUUCAGUGUAAGAGUUUUGUCCUGGUUUGUCCUCACCCAGUUCAGGAUCAAGUUGGUGCAAGAAGGUGUUGCUGGGCACACAUGCUCUCUCAAUACAGCAAAACCCACUCUGCAAAAGGUAAAUUUUGCCCCGUUUUACACUUAGGAAGCAUUUUUCUGGCAACACAGACAAGCUCUCACCAAGAAAUGGGAGGUCCUGGUGCCAUGUUCUGGUUAAAAAUCAACAUUUUACCAGUCUUCAAAUUUAUGACUAAGACAGACCAUUACAACCACCUGCUACUGCAUGUUGCUCACUUCAAAGGCCAAAUAGUUUCCCCCAAGGGAUCCCUCUUCGGGUCCGUGGCCCUUGCAGCUCUGAUCUUUUUCAGAAAAGGCAGCAAACCCGGGAUGAGAAGUUGGUGUGGUGCAAAUGAGGGCCUCUCUCUUUUGUCUUCAUGCCAUUAGAUCUCAUUAUAUCUUUUUUAUUGGUUUAAGUUUGUUACACUAAUGUCUUCUCAUAGAAAUCUUUAUCACAUGUAAGUAUUUGGCAACCAAGAAAGAGUCACACCUCAAUGGGUUGGGGUUUUUUUUUAAGUACACAAGCUAAACCGAGUUUCUUUGGUCUUUCCCUGUUAAGGAGGGUUUUCAAACUUCCACGUUUAUCCAAAAUCCUCUAUACAACUUGCUUUUUAAAGUAUGGACACUGAAACUGUGAACAGUCCUUUAAUUAAUUCACAGUGUUACACUUCUCUGCCUUCAUUCAGUUGUCUUCUGUUUAUGCAUUCAAAAGCCCCAUUUCCUCUCUGGGCCACUGUCUGAAACUGGGAAUAGAUACAGUGACCUGUAAAUCCGUUUUAAAGCCACUGCUUUCCAAAAUGCAGCCCCUGCUCUUCAAGUUGAGAUGUGCAGCCCUGAUUCCUUCAGACAGCUGUCUUAAAACCACCAAUCUGAGCGACUACAUUUGCUGCACUGUGCAGAGUGGCCUGUAAAAGUAAUUUGUCAAUAUUUAUGAAACAUGGCAAUAGGAAAAGACUCCCAGCUUCCAGCCACCGGCAACGACAGCUUCUGAAUUUUCAGACCUUCAUACUUGCAGGUGAGGAAAGGUCAGACACAAAUGAGACCUCAGACUCUUUAGAGUGGUAUUGCUAGUGGAAAUGGAAAUGGAGAGCCAUGUCUUCUGGUAGAUGUGACCAAAGCUAACCCGAAACUGCAGUCUGACUGAGUUAGCUUCUUUAUGCAAGUUUGACAUGGCUGCAGGCAAACAGAUUACAGAUCAUAUAGUUUUAAGCACCAGGGAUAAGGAAAUCACAACACACCGGCUGCAAAAGUCAGAUUCAGAAUUAAUCAGCCUGUUGAUAUGUGUCACAGCAAGGAAUGGGGCCAGAACAAGCUACAAAAGAUGAAAACCUUGGAAAACAUGGAAGGGGCAUACAUGGACAAUAAAUGGGAGCAGCACCUGAAAUAGAACCAGUAGUCUGCAAAGAGCAAGAAACAAAUGAAUAAGGCUAACACCCAAUAAUCAUGUGUUCAUUCCAAGAUAAAUCGCUUUCCAAGCCUGCACAAAGAACAAUCUGCAGCAAUUCGUAGUCUACAGCAACUGGAGACAAACAGUAACAGCCUUUGGAAGGAGCAUCUUGCUCCCUAUCCUCUGGCUUUAAGAUUAAAGUAAAAAAAAUCCGGCCAACCAACCAGAAAUGAAAACCAGUUUGCACCUCAAGCAAUGUCAAGGCAAGAGGUGUUCCAAGGACAGCCUCCUUUGCAGAAUGAAUGCAAGUGUCUUUCACAAACUUAAAAGCUAAAUUAAGAAUUUAAGUGAGGAUUUAAGGCAGGUUUUUGCAGUUAUUUUCACUUAAGGACCCACCUUGUCCUCUGUGUAUAGUUUCAGGCUUUGCUGUGUUGAGUGUAGCCACAGGCUUCUCCUUAGAUAACAGAGAGAAUGUUUGUGCUUUUGUAGCGCAGAGGCUCAAAAUUUAGCCCAAGCAGUCCUUGUGGGUGACUUUAUCACAAUGCAAAGCUUUGGAGGACCUUGAGUUGGGUGCAAUCGUUGUUGUUAGAUUUUGUGUAUGAAGUUCAGCUGACCACUGGCCUGACAGUGAGGAAAAAAAGCCCUGCUGAAGUGAAAGAAAACAGAAGAGUAACCUGGAAAGCCCCUUCCAGGAUGUGUCUAUAAUUUAAUCAGAGCUGAAAGCCUCUUGACUGAGCUCGGUAGCUCAGGGUUUGCGGGUGCUGUAACCAGAGUUCAGGGCUGGCUGCUUACCCAGGCCCUGGGUGGAUUUUGCAAUGGACCAAACUCGGUGUUACAGGUGACUACACUGUUUGGGGAGGAAGAGAGUCGGGGAAUGUCAGUCUGAACUCUGUCCCCUCUUAAGAAACACAGAGGAGACAUGCCUCGAGCGGGUUUAGAGUCCAGGAGUCAUUCUGCCCGAUAAAAGUGCCCAGCACAAACCCUAAUGACUCUGCCGAUGGGCACUGGCAGCUGUGGUGCUCCACGUGUGAACUGCCCUCUCCUGGAAAUGCCCAGAGAAGUGACAGCCGGUGUGCUCAGGCUUCUUUCUGAUUGUCCUUUCCUGACUGCUGUCUUCUCAUCUUCCAGCCGAUGUUCCUGCUACUUCUCCUGUAGCUGUUCCAGAGGAAAAGUUUCUGUAGUCCCUCACCUACCACGUGUCAGUGCCAGACAGCUGAUUGUCAGCCUACCUGUGGGACUGUCUAUACCCAGUGAUGUGCUGUCAAAUGCACAGAGUUAACAAAGUGAUAGGGGAGAAUGUUUUCCCCGUGAAUCCUCUCUCAGUCAUGAUCUCAGAGGCUAUUUGUGUCAGUGGCAGGUACAACAUUUUCAGAUGAAGACACGAUUUGAUGAAUGAACUCUGCUUCUUUAAGAUGCUCUAGGUUGCCUUUUUUUUCCCCAGUCCGUCCCUUUCAUCACCUUAGGCUUAAGUAAAUUCCCCAGGAACAUGCAGUUCUGCAGUUACAGGUAGUUUGCACUUAUUUAACAGCUAAUAUCAGUAGAUAAUGGUCUCCUGCCACUAGAUAAAGUCAGAAGAAAAUCUGUGACAAUUUACAUUUGGCAUACAUUUAAAAAUUAGGGCUAGUAGCUUGGAAAAAAACCCUUCUAUUUUUAAACAGAACAUCAGUUUCUCUUAUUACCUUGCUUCUCAGCAAAAGGGUGAGUACCAGCACCAUUUACAGUUCCAGACAGGUAAGAUUGUUCCCAUUAAUGAAUCCUGCCAUUCCCCUCUCCUGUCUUUUUGCCCCUUUUCUGAGCAUGAUGACUUAAUGGUGUCUGGUAUGGCUCAAAUCACGACCCAGCUACGGUCUCAUCUGGAUCCACUGGCGAGGCUGUCAGGUCACUUAUGAAAUGCUUCACCUGGAAGAUCUCCCUGCUCUGAGCAGGGAGCUGCAUCGCCACAGCCACUGUCUGAGGCAAGAACAAACCCUGGAGAGGGGAGGUCAGGGCAACAGGGCCAACCUCAUUCCCAUGAAAGAAUAUUUGUAGCACGGGUUUGUCUAUUUUAUAUAUAUGUAUAUAUAAAAUGGCAUUUGGGGGAUUUAGAGGCUAGACCUGUGUUGGCUUUUGAGGCUGCCUUGAGGCUACCUCCAACACCAAACCCCUACAGACAGAUAGUUGGAUGCACUUCACCAAAUGUUAGAAGUUAGAUGUCAGAGUCCAAGUUACUCACCCUAAACUGUCUAGAGGAGAGUUCAUGCCUAUUUUAGGGGUCGGGAGUUCCUAUUAUUCUGCACUGACUGUAAAGGAAGCCUCUCAACUUUUAGAUACCUCAGGAUGCUUCAAAUCUGCAAGCCUGGCUCCAGACACGCAGCAGAGUAUGGAGGGUCCAAACCCGUGGGGUCUAAACCAGGAACUGGGCCUAAACCUGACCACAGCAGCACGACUUUCCCCCUCCUGCAGCACUGUGAGCAGGUCAGCAGUGCCUGGUGUGUGUCCCACACCAAGGAGCUGCAGCCAGAGGCUCCGGCUGGUGUGGAAUGAGCAACACCCAGAGAGUACCAGACUUUCUGCUUUCAAAACAGGGCGGGCACGUGAAAAGCGCUGCUGCAAAUUGUCCCUGGCCUGACCUAAAUCCCAAACCAUGCCCAAGACUUGUCUGGAAAAGUGCAACUGGCCCAGGGCCCAGCCUUUGCCAGGGACUGCAGCAACCAGAGAGCAUGGACAAGGAGCUCUGCGUGCUGGGCUUUCCCAUUUGCAUCUACGUGGUCCUGAGAUCAGACUGAGCUGCCCCAAGGCCUUGGCAUACUUUCCUGCUGCAGAGCAGGCCAGACAUCCUUCUUGGAGUAACUUGGAACUAUCCUUUGGUAGGAUAGUAGAUACUAGGCAACAAGCUGGGGCACAGAGUGGGAAUUUUGGGGUUUUCUGAAGGUUUCAUGUUUGGGUUUGUUCGUUUGUUUUGUUUGGGAUUUUUUUUUUUAUUUGACUUUUUUUUAAUGUACUGGGAAAAAAACCAGUUCUAAACAUCUUCAAGACAAUCACAAGAUCAAACCUCAACUCUCCAAAGGCGGACAGGUACACUGUCACGAUAAACUCAAGAAUUAAAAUACAUUUCUGUUGACUGUGAGGAUGACUAUCUGGCAUGAGAAUCUCUGGUGUAACACCACAGUGCCCAGCUUAGCUGGGAAAACUGUAUGACAAGCUCAGGACAGGGAUUGAUCCGGGAGCUCUGGAAUUCCCUUCCUUGCUGCUCUUGCACAACAUCACUGCUUGCCAGCUGUUGCCUUUGCCUACUGUUCUUCAUCCUUCUUAUUGUACAUUUGCAUUACAGUGUGUACUGGAAGAGAAGACGAGGAAACCUCAGUAAAAUUUGUUUUCGCCUUUUGA